rnacentral:rRNA from 1 species
UACGUAGGGUGCAAGCGUUGUCCGGAAUUAUUGGGCGUAAAGAGCUCGUAGGCGGUUUGUUGCGUCGGCUGUGAAAUCCCGAGGCUCAACCUCGGGUCUGCAGUCGAUACGAGCAAACUAGAGUGUUGCAGGGGAGACUGGAAUUCCUGGUGUAGCGGUGAAAGUGCGCAGAUAUCAGGAGGAACACCGGUGGCGAAGGCGGGUCUCUGGGCAACAACUGACGCUGAGGAGCGAAAGCGUGGGGAGCGAACAGG